rnacentral:rRNA from 1 species
GCGCAUGUAUGUGCCAAGUUCAAACGUAUUACGUGAGACUGCGGACGGCUCAGUAAAUCAGUGAUAAUCUGUUUGAUUUUCUCCCAUUGGAUAACCGUGGGAAAUCUAGAGCUAAUACGUGCAUUAUAUUGGCGUGCUUUCGGGUGCGCCAAAGCAUUUAUUAGAAUAAACCAUCUAUUACACUUCGGUGUAGUAAGGGGAAUCUGGAUAACUUUGCUGAUCGUAUGGCCCAGCGCCGGCGACGUUUCAAUUGAGUUUCUGCCCUAUCAACUUGUUGGUAAGGUAUUGGCUUACCAAGGUUGCAACGGGUAACGGGGAAUCAGGGUUCGAUUCCGGAGAGGGAGCCUGAGAAACGGCUACCACAUCCAAGGAAGGCAACAGGCGCGCAAAUUACCCAAUCUAGACAGUAGGAGGUGGUGAAGAGAAUUACUAAGUGGUGGUCUAAUAGAUCACUUGUUUGGAAUGAACGUAACUUAAGAAAUUCGAUGAGAAACAACUGGAGGGCAAGUCCUGGUGCCAGCAGCCGCGGUAAUUCCAGCUCCAGUAGUUUGCUUUAAAGUUGUUGCGUUUAAAACGCUCGUAGUUGGAUCACGCAGCAGUGUUCAGUAAUCUAAAGCAGGAAAACGCUGGUGGUACGUCACGGACGGCCAUCGAGUGAAUUCGGCGAUAGAUAAUAUGCUGGAUAUUGCUAGUUGCACGUGAGAUAGAUUGUUGGCCUUAAAUGAGCCGAUAUUCUCGUCUUGCGGGGUGUGCCUUGAAUAAAACAGAGUGCUCAAAGCAGGUUAUUGCCUGAAUGUUAUAGCAUGGAACGAACAAUCGUGUAUAUGUGUAUGUUUUUAAAUGGCGAUGAGUCUUUGGUUCGUCACUGUUUAGGAUGUACACGGCACCCACCAAAAUAUGGCUGUUGGUUCCAUAUACGGUGAUGAUUAAAAGGAGCGGUUGGGGGCAUCGGUAUUUGGCCGCGAGAGGUGAAAUUCUUAGACCGGCCAAGGACUAACAAAUGCAAAGGCACUUGUCUAGACCGUUUCCAUUAAUCAAGAACGAAAGUGGGAGGUUCGAAGACGAUCAGAUACCGUCAUAGUUCCCACCGUAAACUAUGCCGACCUGGGAUCAGUUUAGAGAUGUUACAAGCUCUAGAUUGGUCCCCCUGGGAAACCUAAAGUUUUUCGGUUACGGGGAGAGUAUGGUCGCAAGGCUGAAACUUAAAGGAAUUGACGGAAGGGCACCACCAGGGGUGGAGCCUGCGGCUUAAUUUGACUCAACACGGGGAAGCUUACCUGGUCCAGACAUCGAUAGGAUUAUCAGAUCAAUAGCUCUUAUAUGAUCCGAUGAGUGGUGGUGCAUGGCCGUUCUUAGUUCGUGGAGUGAUCUGUCAGCUUAAUUGCGGUAACGAACGAGACCACAGUCUCCAUUUAAGAGAUGAAAGCAGGUGCGUAGUUUUGAAAAUUUCGGUUUUUUUAGCUACGUGCUGUAGGAAGAGUGAUGUAUUUUAUCGAUAGGCAUGUUAGGGAAACUUGGCGUGUUUGUUGGUAGAAUAUGUUAUAUCUCCCUUUUAUCACGCAGCAGUCGGUUUCACUGGCUGUUGCCUUAUGGAGAGACAACGAGGUAUAAACAAGCUCGAGGAAGAGUGGCUAUAACAGGUCAGUGAUGCCCUUCGAUGUUCAGGGCUGCACGCGCGCUACAAUGAUAACGUCAGCAAGUGUCUGCGUCGAAAGACGUGGGUAAUCUCUAAUCGUUAUCGUGAUGGGGAUUGACCGUUGUAAUUAUCGGUCAUGAAAGAGGAAUCCCUAGUAUGCACAUUUUAUUAGAAUGUGCAGAUUGAGUCCCUGCCCUUUGUACACACCGCCCGUCGCUACUACCGAGUGAAUGGUGUCAUGAUGCGCUGGGACUGGACGUUAGUUGGGUCUUAGGAUUCGGCAGAUGCUGGAAUCAGCGUAAA